rnacentral:rRNA from 1 species
UACGGAGGGGGCAAGCGUUGUUCGGAAUUACUGGGCGUAAAGGGCGCGUAGGCGGCCUUCUAAGUCGAACGUGAAAUCCCCGGGCUCAACCCGGGAACUGCGUCCGAUACUGGAAGGCUUGAAUCCGGGAGAGGGAUGCGGAAUUCCAGGUGUAGCGGUGAAAUGCGUAGAUAUCAGGAGGAACACCGGUGGCGAAGGCGGGUCUCUGGGCCGAUACUGACGCUGAGGAGCGAAAGCAUGGGUAGCGAACAGG